GUGGGCCGCGUCCCGGCGGAAGCGUGAGGGACCGAGCAGGGACCAGCGGCUGGCGGCGGCGGGAGCGGGGCUGGCGCCGCAGGAGCAGACGUGCCGCAGGACGGGGGACACGGCUGCCACCACGGAGUCCGCUAGCAGCAACACCGCGGCGGCCACCGCCGCUUCGCGGGCCGCGGGCGCCGGGGACCAGGCAACCUCGCUGCCCCCGCCCAGGAUGCAGCGCAGGAAGAGGAACGCGGGCAGCAGCUCGGAUGGAACGGAGGACUCGGAUUUCUCCACGGACCCCGAGCACACGGACAGCUCCGAGAGCGACGGCACCUCCCGGCGCUCGGCCCGCGUCACCCGCUCCUCGGCCCGCCUCAGCCAGAGCUCCCAGGACUCCAGCCCGGUGCGGAACCCGCCGCCCUUCGGGCCGGACGAGCCGGUGUACUCCACGCGGAGGGUGACACGCAGCCAGCAGCAGCCAGCUCCUGUCACCCCCAAGAAGUACCCGCUGCGCCAGACCCGCUCCUCCGGCUCCGAGACCGAGCAGGCCGUGGACUUCUCCGACAGAGACACCAAAAACGCUGCCGACCACGACGAGUCCCCGCCCCGCACGCCCACGGGCAACGCGCCCUCCUCGGAGUCCGACAUCGACAUCUCCAGCCCCAACGUGUCCCACGACGAGAGCCUGGCCAAGGACAUGUCCAUGAAGGACUCGGGCAGCGACCUCUCGCACCGGCCCAAGCGCCGCCGCUUCCACGAGAGCUACAACUUCAACAUGAAGUGCCCCACGCCCGGCUGCAACUCCCUGGGACACCUGACUGGGAAGCACGAGCGCCACUUCUCCAUCUCGGGGUGCCCUCUCUACCACAACCUCUCAGCAGAUGAGUGCAAGGUGCGAGCACAGAGCCGGGACAAGCAGAUUGAGGAGAGGAUGUUGGCCCACAGGCAGGAUGACAACAACAGGCACGCCACCAGGCACCAGGCCCCCACGGAGAGGCAGCUGCGGUACAAAGAGAAGGUGGCUGAGCUCAGGAAGAAGAGGAACUCUGGGCUCAGCAAGGAGCAGAAGGAGAAAUACAUGGAGCACAGGCAGACCUAUGGCAACACCAGGGAGCCUCUCCUGGAGAACCUGACCAGCGAGUACGACCUGGAGCUGUUCCGCAGGGCCCAGGCCCGCGCCUCCGAGGACCUGGAGAAGCUGAGGCUGCAGGGGCAGAUCACCGAGGGCAGCAACAUGAUCAAGACCAUCGCGUUCGGGCGCUACGAGCUGGACACGUGGUACCACUCGCCCUACCCCGAGGAGUACGCGCGCCUCGGGCGCCUCUACAUGUGCGAGUUCUGCCUCAAGUACAUGAAGAGCCAGACCAUCCUGCGCAGGCACAUGGCCAAGUGUGUCUGGAAGCACCCCCCGGGGGACGAGAUCUACCGCAAGGGCUCCAUCUCUGUCUUCGAGGUGGAUGGCAAGAAGAACAAGAUCUACUGUCAGAACCUGUGUCUGCUGGCAAAGCUUUUCCUGGACCACAAAACCCUUUAUUAUGAUGUGGAACCCUUCCUCUUCUACGUCAUGACAGAGGCUGACAACACUGGCUGCCACCUGAUCGGGUAUUUCUCCAAGGAGAAGAAUUCCUUCCUCAACUACAACGUGUCCUGCAUCCUGACCAUGCCCCAGUACAUGAGACAAGGCUAUGGCAAAAUGCUCAUUGACUUCAGCUAUUUGCUGUCUAAAGUAGAGGAAAAAGUUGGCUCCCCCGAGCGUCCCCUGUCUGACCUGGGCCUGAUCAGCUACAGGAGCUACUGGAAGGAAGUUCUGCUGCGGUACCUGCACAACUUCCAGGGCAAGGAGAUCUCCAUCAAAGAGAUCAGCCAGGAGACCGCUGUGAACCCCGUGGACAUCGUCAGCACCCUGCAGGCCCUGCAGAUGCUCAAGUACUGGAAGGGCAAACACCUGGUCCUCAAGAGACAGGACCUGAUCGAUGAGUGGAUCGCCAAGGAGGCCAAGAGGUCCAACAGCAACAAGACCAUGGAUCCCAGCUGCCUCAAGUGGACCCCUCCCAAGGGCACCUAGGUGUCCCCAGCAGCGUCCCCAGCAGAGGAGGGACCCGUGUGCUGCCGUGGUGGUUGGCUCUGCAGUGUCCCCAGGGCGGGUCACCCCGGGCUGGCCUGGCCUGGCCCCGUGUCCCCACAGUUCUGAGGAACUCGGAUGUUUCGGCCUCAGUGAGGCCGCGAGGACUGGAAGUGUCUGGGAGCCCCAGGAAGCUGAGGAGCUCUGACUGCUGGGCCUGUCCCUGUCCCUGCUGUCCUGCUCCGUCCCUCUGUCCCUCCUGCAGCUUCCCUGGGGGCUGGGCUCACCCCUGGCUCUUGGACAAUGCUGGAAAUGCUUCUCUGGGGCAGCCCUGCAGGGACUGCUCCUGCCCCGUUCCGUGUCUGGAAUAGCUUUAGUGGGAUCGUCGCCCCUCUCCCAGCAGUUUUCCCUAGGAUCCAGCAGAUCUCCACUUAGUUCCCAUUGUACAGCCAGAAUUGCACCUCCUGCACCUGAGGGAGUCACUGGGUGUUGCUGUCACCCCCUCCUGGAGCCACCACAGCCCUGCUGGAAGCACUCUGGAGUAGAAUUCCCAUUUUUCCUGGCUGAAGGAAUCCAAACUUUGGCCUUUUCCAAAAAGCCACAGGAACUCCCAGCACUGAUUCCAGGAGCUGUUGGGCUGCUGUGCUCCAGGGAGGGAUGGAUGGAUUCCCUGGCAGAGGAAAAAAAAAAAAAAGCUUUGAUUCCUCCUUCCCAUCAGCAGAAAUAUCCCAGAAUGGCCUCCCAGUAAAACCACUGUCCUCGUGCCACCCAUCCCUGGGUGGCUCCAGUGUCACUGACAGAGGGGACAGCCCUGGGAAGGGGCUGGGUUCCCUGAUCCCAGUGCUGGAUUCCCCAAUCCCAGUGCUGAUUUCAGUGAUCCCAGUGCUGAUUUCAGUGAUCCCAGUGCGGAUUUCAGUGAUCCCAGUGCUGGAUUCCCUGAUCCCAGUGCUGAUUUCAGUGAUCCCAGUGCUGAUUUCUCUGAUCCCAGUGCUGGUUUCCCUGAUCCCAGUGCUGGGUUCCCCAAUCCCAGUGCUGAUUUCAGUGAUCCCAGUGCUGGAUUCCUUGAUCCCAGUGCUGAUUUCAGUGAUCCCAGUGCUGAUUUCCCUGAUCCCAGUGCUGAUUUCCCUGGUCCCAGUGAUCCCAGUGCUGAUUUCAGUGAUCCCAGUACUGGAUUCCCUUGUCCCAGUGCUGAUUUCUCUGGUCCCAGUGAUCCCAGUGCUGAUUUCAGUGAUCCCAGUGCUAGGUUCCCUUGUCCCAGUGCUGAUUUCAGUGAUCCCAGUGCUGAUUUCAGUGAUCCCAGUGCUGAUUUCAGUGAUCCCAGUGCUGGAUUCUCUGAUCCCAGUGCUCAUUUCCCUGGUCCCAGUGAUCCCAGUGCUGCUUUCAGUGAUCCCAGUACUGGAUUCCCUUGUCCCAGUGCUGAUUUCAGUGAUCCCAGUGCUGAUUUCCCUGAUCCCAGUGCUGAUUUCCCUGAUCCCAGUGCUGAUUUCCCUGAUCCCAGUGAUCCCAGUGCUGAUUUCAGUGAUCCCAGUGCUGAUUUCCUCCAUCCCAGCGCUGGAUUCCCUGUUCCCAGUGCUGAUUUCCUCCAUCCCAGUGCUGAUUUCCUCCAUCCCAGUGAUUCCUCACGGAGCAGGGUGUGAAAUGAAGCACUCCUGGGAAGGUGGGAGCCAUUCCCAUUAACCACUGCCCCAUCCUGACUGGAAAAGCUCCCUCCUGGAUCCCUCCUGGAUCCCUCCUGGAUCCCUCCUGGACCCCUCCUGGACCCCCGAGCACCGCCAGCCCCUCGGUGCUCAGCGUGGGCCUCGUGGGCAUUACUGUCCCUGCUGUCCCUGUCCCCAGCUCAGAUUCCCAGGAAUGUCCCAGGCAGGGGAGGGGGAGGCUCCCGCUCCCCUCCCUGCUGGGCUGUGCUGCUCCUGUACCCCCUCCUCAAUAAAAGCAUGUUCCUGCUCCA